UGAGGGAUAUUGGGCAAUGGGGGAAACCCUGACCCAGCGACGCCGCGUGAGGGAAGAAGGUUUUCGGAUUGUAAACCUCUGUCCUUGGUGACGAUAAUGACGGUAGCCAAGGAGGAAGCCACGGCUAACUACGUGCCAGCAGCCGCGGUAAUACGUAGGUGGCGAGCGUGUCCGGAAUUACUGGGUGUAAAGGGAGCGUAGGCGGGAGAGCAAGUCGACUGUGAAAGCUAUGGGCUUAACCCAUAGAUGCGAUCGAAACUGUUCAUCUUGAGUGAAGUAGAGGCAGGCGGAAUUCCUAGUGUAGCGGUGAAAUGCGUAAAUAUUAGGAGGAACACCAGUGGCGAAGGCGGCCUGCUGGGCUUUAACUGACGCUGAGGCUCGAAAGCGUGGGGAGCAAACAGGAUUGAUACC
rnacentral:rRNA from 1 species